rnacentral:lncRNA from 10 species
CUGAAAUGGUGGCUUCUGUUUGCAGUUUCAAAGCUCAGAUAUUUCCUGGGAAUAGAAAUUCAUCUCCUGGAAGUAAACGCAAUAGUAAAAUCCAAAUAAGGAGCUGUGGUAUUUGGUGUGACUUAAGAAGUUUUUAAAAUCUGGACUUUGCUCUUGUUAGCUCUGUGCACCUGAGAGACUUUGAACAUCCAUUUUUAAACUGCAGCUUCUCUCUAUAUAAAUGGGCUAUAUGGGAAUUGAACAAUGAGAUCACAUGGACACAGG